UACAGAGGUCUCAAGCGUUGUUCGGAUUCAUUGGGCGUAAAGGGCGCGUAGGCGGCGGGGUAAGUCUGGUGUGAAAUCUCGGAGCUCAACUCCGAAAUUGCACUGGAUACUGCUCUGCUAGAGGGCUGGAGAGGAGAUCGGAAUUCACGGUGUAGCAGUGAAAUGCGUAGAUAUCUGGAGGAACACCGGUGGCGAAGGCGGCAUCCUGGACCGGCAUUGACGCUGAGGCGCGAAAGCCAGGGGAGCAAACGGG
rnacentral:rRNA from 1 species